CGGAAUUACUGGGCGUAAAGGGCGCGUAGGCGGAUGUUUAAGUCGGGGGUGAAAGCCCGGGGCUCAACCUCGGAAUUGCCUUCGAUACUGGACAUCUUGAGUACGGGAGAGGUGAGUGGAACUCCGAGUGUAGAGGUGAAAUUCGUAGAUAUUCGGAAGAACACCAGUGGCGAAGGCGACUCACUGGCCCGUUACUGACGCUGAGGCGCGAAAGCGUGGGGAGCAAACAGG
rnacentral:rRNA from 1 species